AGCAGCCGCGGUAAUUCCAGCUCCAAUAGCGUAUAUUAAAGUUGUUGCAGUUAAAAAGCUCGUAGUUGAAUUUCGGGAUCAAUGUUUCGGUCAUGCCGUUGGUAUGUACUGAUAUUAUUGGUUUCUCACCUUCUAAAGAACCGUAAUGCCAUUAAUUUUGUGUCACGGGGAAUUAGGACUGUUACCUUGAAAAAAUUAGAGUGUUUAAAGCAGGCUCACGCUUGAAUACAUUAGCAUGGAAUAAUGAAAUAGGACAUCCGAUUCUAUUUUGUUGGUUUCUAGUAUCGAUGUAAUGAUUAAUAGGGAUAGUUGGGGGCAUUAGUAUUCAAUUGUCAGAGGUGAAAUUCUUGGAUUUAUUGAAGACUAACUACUGCGAAAGCAUUCGCCAAGGAUGUUUUCAUUAAUCAGUGAACGAAAGUUAGGGGAUCGAAGACGAUCAGAUACCGUCGUAGUCUUAACCAUAAACUAUGCCGACUAGGGAUCGGACGGUGGUUUUUUAAUGCCCCG
rnacentral:rRNA from 1 species